AAUUGACGCUGGCGGAAUGCUUUACACCUGCAAGUCGAACGGCAGCACGGACUUCGGUCUGGUGGCGAGUGGCGAACGGGUGAGUAAUACAUCGGAACGUGCCCAGUCGUGGGGGAUAACGUAGCGAAAGCUACGUUAAUACCGCAUACGAUCUAAGGAUGAAAGCGGGGGAUCGCAAGACCUCGCGCGAUUGGAGCGGCCGAUGGCAGAUUAGGUAGUUGGUAGGGUAAAGGCCUACCAAGCCGACGAUCUGUAGCUGGUCUGAGAGGACGACCAGCCACACUGGGACUGAGACACGGCCCAGACUCCUACGGGAGGCAGCAGUGGGGAAUUUUGGACAAUGGGCGAAAGCCUGAUCCAGCCAUUCCGCGUGCAGGAUGAAGGCCCUCGGGUUGUAAACUGCUUUUGUACGGAACGAAAAGGUCCUGGUUAAUACCUGGGGCUCAUGACGGUACCGUAAGAAUAAGCACCGGCUAACUACGUGCCAGCAGCCGCGGUAAUACGUAGGGUGCAAGCGUUAAUCGGAAUUACUGGGCGUAAAGCGUGCGCAGGCGGUGAUGUAAGACA
rnacentral:rRNA from 1 species